CGGCAAAUGCUAACAUAGCACCUACUGUGUACUAAGCUCUUUACCUUUAUCAAUUUAUUUAAUCCUCAUUUAAUCAUAAUGCUAAGGUAAGUACAGUAAAACUUUUUAAUCCUUUCAGUAGUAAGUACUGAUGUUAUCCUUUUAGGCAGAUAAGGGACUGAGAUCAGAACUUAAGCAACCUGCUGAAAGUUGCUAAGAGUUAGCAGAGUCAAGAUAUGGAGCCCAGGUAUGCAUGUGGGCUGCUAGUCUGUGCAGUCACCUCCAUGUGUGACCAUUGUACAGCUGGAUGCACAGGAACCGAGCCCACCAUCAGCUCCAGGGAGUGGUGAUCUGCUUCACGCUUCACUGGCUGCAUUACCCUCUGUCUUUCCCUUCCUUCCAUUUCCAGCUUUGUUGCUUGCUAGCAUCUCUACCACAUUAUAGAACCCAAGUUCCUUAAAUGGUGAUUUUUCAUCAAGUCUUUUUCCUUCUCUGAAUAAUGUUCCAGUUACUCUUAAGCAAAAAUCCUAGACUGGGAGUCAGCUUUGGUCUCCUCUCAUCUGCCAGGUUCCAGCACAACCCCUGCCUGUCUUGCUUUGGGACCUUGAUCCAGUCUGUUCACAUCUCUUCACCUCUGCUUCUUCAUCUGUAAAAUCAAGGGUUUAGGGCCGUGAUAUCAGACCUAAAAUUAUACCACCCCAAGGAUAAUUAGAACAAAUCCAAGAAAACAUUUUAUGGCUAGAAAGAGAAAACAUUUUGUACCAAUCUAAAUUAGAAUUUGCCUCUUGGGAGUCAAUUAAGCAAGUCCCUCAAAGCACCUCUCUAACUGGAAAGGAAAUGACUAAAAUAAGAAUGGAAAAGAAAUCCUGCUGUCCUCCAGUGCCUUAGCAGAAUGCUGACUCUUGACUUGUGCCUUUGGACAUGGUCCGUGGCUCUGAAUGCCAUCUCCAGCUUCAUAAUAUGCUGGCCCAGGUGCCCACCAGUGCAAUGGCCAGUCACCUUUGGAGAAGAAACAUUACAGAAAAAUAAUUACAUUCUAUCACCUUUGAAGCUGUUCUAAUUUCACUGGGGUUUCUCUUUUCCUCCCAUUAAACCCAGCUGGUCAUUUUAGUUGAUCAAGUGAACAGGCAUCAUUAUCUUCAAUUUUAAUUUAUAUGAGGCAUCCACUGAAAUUGACCUCUGCGGACAAUUAUAGAUGCACGUAGGAAAUUAAGACUGGUGAAUCCCUCAAACCUAUUAGAGGCUGAUGAGCGUGGCCUGUAAUGGUAAGUAAUGUUACAUUUUGAGGGACAAUUUAUUCCAAGGACUGUGGGGCUCUUCAUCAGGAAUGUCUGCCCCUUCUUACCUGGCUCUUGAAAUCAGAUGUAGCACAGAUGACUUUAAUGGGAACACCAUAUUUAAUGUUGAUUGCUAUGAAAACAUAAGAGGAAGAGGUCAUUUUUGAGGUGACUGUGAU
rnacentral:lncRNA from 1 species